UACAGAGGGGGCAAGCGUUAUUCGGAAUUAUUGGGCGUAAAGGGCGCGUAGGCGGCUUUGCAAGUGACGGGUGAAAUCCCUCGGCUUAACCGAGGAACUGCCUGUCAGACUGCAUGGCUUGAGACCAGGAGAGGUGAGUGGAAUUCCCAGUGUAGCGGUGAAAUGCGUAGAUAUUGGGGAGGAACACCAGUGGCGAAGGCGGCUCACUGGACUGGUACUGACGCUGAUGCGCGAAAGCGUGGGGAGCAAACAGG
rnacentral:rRNA from 1 species